UACGUAGGCAGCGAGCGUUGUUCGGAGUUACUGGGCGUAAAGCGUGCGUAGGCGGUGUCUUAAGUUUGUUGUGAAAUCUCCCGGCUUAACCGGGAGGGUGCGGCGAAUACUGAGAUGCUGGAGUGCCGGAGAGGUAAGCGGAAUUCCUGGUGUAGCGGUGAAAUGCGUAGAUAUCGAGAGGAACACCUGCGGCGAAGGCGGGUUGCUGGGCCGACACUGACGCUGAUGCGCGAAAGCCAGGGGAGCGAACGGG
rnacentral:rRNA from 1 species